CAAAUACUCCCUCCGUCUGGAAAUACUUGUCAUCAAAAUGGAUAAAAGGAAAUAUAUCUAGACAUAUUUUAGUUUUAGAUACAUCUCUUUUUAUCCAUUUUGAUGACAAGUAUUUUCGGACGGAGGGAGUAUUUA
rnacentral:pre_miRNA from 1 species